rnacentral:lncRNA from 1 species
UCUAUCUCGAGCGCUCGCCUUUACUAUUCCUUUUCUUAACAGAGUUCCUGUAGGACUAUUACUAUGUUUGAAUAAGUCCUGAGCAGUUAAAUGUAGGAGGUAGCAGGCGAUUAGCGCCAUUAGAGGCAGGCCACGGAUUGCGGCAUGGCCCAGGUGGUUGGGAUGGCAACCAUUGAUCACGAGUAUGCCGGGAUUAGCUUGUCCAUUUGUUUCCUUGUAACCAUACAUGAACUCCGGCGAGGAGGACGACACACACGAAGAACACAGAGGACACGAUGAGUUUGGUGCUGUAAGCGACAGCUUUUCCUUUUGAUUGUAUUCACUAUAUAUGGAUUACAUGUAUGGUUACAAGGAAACAAAUGGACAAGCUAAUCCCGGCAUACUCGUGAUCAAUGGUUGCCAUCCCAACCACCUGGGCCAUGCCGCAAUCCGUGGCCUGCCUCUAAUGGCGCUAAUCGCCUGCUACCUCCUACAUUUAACUGCUCAGGACUUAUUCAAACACAGGGCAUGCAGACAGCCGUGCAGCUUCUCAAUCUGUUGGAACAGAACAGCCAGGCCACCGGUUCUCCUUCCGUCGAGAAUCACACCCAGUUUCCUCAAAUGCAGCAGCUGUCCGAUGUCGAUCAAGUCAUCAACAUUUCUGGAUGCAUCAACAUAGGAUAGUAUCUCCAGCCUUUUCAUUCUUCGGGUGCCACUGGGAAGCUGCACCGUCUCAACCAUGUCCAUAAACCUAUGAGAGACCACCUUAUUGCCAGCAAGCAGAUGCUUUAGCAUUGGAAGAAAAAUGGAAUUUGUGGCGCAUGCCCUUGUUUUUGUUUGGCGGAUGUCCAAUGUCUCCAGGCAGUGUAGCUUGUUGAUUUGCUUGGGCAGUUGAGUAGCAUCUGUGUCCCUGAGGCUUAGGUACUUGAGCAACAAUAUAUUGCAAAUGUUCUUCAGGUGUUUCUUCGUCAGGCCUUUGCAUCCUUCGAGAUCCAGCACCUUGAGUAGCUUCCAUUGAUCAGAUCCAGCAAGGGAAUCAAGAAGGGAGAGUAUGUCAUUGGAAGAAGAUGGCUGUUCCAGUUCUAGUGCUAUCCCGCUAUUUCUGGAAAAAUGAUGAGCCAGAUCAAGAGGCAAGCAUGUGUCCUUCAUGAAGCCUACAUCCGUAGCAAGGAAGUGGUGGAUUUUUGGAUGCAUCUUGUAGGUCUUGAUCUUGCCUGCAGCACUGGUUUCCUCUGCAGCCUACAUCCGUAGCAAGCCCUGUGCUGUCACUGUUAGAGCAGGUACAAUAGCAGACUAUAAGCUAGCUAUAAGAUGAGAAAGAGAAGAGAAUUGGGCUACUAAUUUAUAGUCAGUUACAACUUGCAGCACGAGUUCUAAGAUACAAUAUGUGUAUGACAUGUGAGACCAUUUAUUAAUGUUUUAUAGGUAACUAUUGUAUAAAUUGACUAUUAGAUUGGCUAUAGAUAAAUUAGGGCUAGUAGUUGGCUAUACUAUUUGAACUUUCUUACCAUGAAAUCUUCUCCCGGUCACCAGCCCUUCUGCAAGCCACCGCCGGAUGAGCCUGGUCCUCCGGAUGGCGUGACGCUGGGGGAAGAUGGAGAGAUAGUGACUUGAUUGGCAACUCGUUGUAGCAAAACAUGAGCAUUAUCCUUGACGAGUUGUUCUUGUGCUCACGUAGGUUGUCAGACAGGCUUUCCAAUUCCCUUGUGGACCUGUAAGGAUUGGUGUACAGUAGGUGGAGGAACAUCUGCAUCGCAAAAGCAUCGUGUGCGCAAUCUCGUUCAACGAUCUGUUCCACGGGACCUUUGCGGACGGGGGAAAUUAGGGCAAGUGCUGUGCGCCGGAAAAGACCAGGACAAUGUAUCUGGCCGCCCUGUGCACUAAUGAAUAUAGUUUUGUCGCUCAGCUCCCGCGUAUAAUCGUCCCAGUCCCUGGAUGUCAGCAGUAUUGCGGUUGCACCGAUAAAGUCGAAGCGAUCUCCAAAAUCUUGCAAUAUCGAACGGAGGAGAUCGCCAUAGUAUUCAGUAUGGUUAAAACGGAGGUCAUCAAGAACAAGCAGGAGGAACUUUUUACCUGGAAGCAGGCCCUCAGCUCUCGCGGCCUCCUUCCAAUCGUCUGUGAAAAGUUGGCUCAUCUUGUGAAACAAUGAGGAGGAUUGAUUGUCUUGGAAGCUGAUCCAGAACCUGUGUUGAAAUAAGCUCACCACAUGAGGAUGAUCGUACACCAUCUUUGCAGUGCUAGCCUCUCUUUCUCCCACGGCACCUUCUCCUAGAAUAUGGAUGAUUCUUGGUGGUGGUUCUUGCCGCAGGCUCCAAUUGUCUUGUUGCAGCCAUUGGAGGACCAAUUUAGUUGCUGCCUGCGGCAUUUCGCCGAAGAGAAGCUCUCGCCUCCGGUCAUCUUUCUCCUCCUCCGGCCCGCACGGCUGCGGAGAGGCCGGGCAGGGGCUAUCAUCAACGGUGCUCCUGAUUUGAUGGUCCGGCACCGGCAGUGCAGGCGGGACGGUGAUGCCGUACCUGCUCCGUCGAUCGCCGACGUCACGCGCGCGUACCUUGAGCUCACGGAUCCGCGUCGCCACGUGGCGGCGGGCCGGGAUGGUCCGCACCAGCUGGGUUAUCCACCGGAGCUGCGCCAGAAGGCCCUUGCCGCCGCCGCCGCCGGGCGCCACGUAGUGGAGGUAGAGCUCGACGCAGGCCUCGCAGUCGCGGCUGAGCCCGGCGACGUGCCUCAUCCACGUCCUGACCUGGCGGUCCCGCUCCUGCCCCUCCAUGAUGUGCGCCACCAGGCUGUCCAUGUUCUCCAUCUCGUCUCUGAUGAACUCCACGUCGCCGCGAACGCCGCCCAGCAGCUGCGCCUCGCUCACCAAGACGGUGGUUAGCCGCCCCAGCAGCGAGUCCAGGGCACUCUGGGCGUCCAUGAAUAUCGCCCAACUCACUCAUCAGCGUUCCGUUCCUUCCCUCACCAACUCAUCAUAUCCAUGUCUCUAAUUCUCUCUGGACAUUCAUGAUGUGAUCCAUAAAUGUGUUUAGUUAUAUGGCCUAGUUACAGGCAACUCUCCGUUGCAUUUUAUCGAUAGUAUUAGUAUUUUGUACUUUGUUAAUUACUUGAUUAACAGUAUUUUGUAAUUUUGUUUUUUGCAAUAAAGAUCAUAACAAAAAGGACGAUGUUACCCUUUUAAAUUUUUACUACACAUAAUAUUGUUGGUAGUAUAAUUUAAUCACAGUCGUCCGAUAAAAAUAGAUCAAUGGUAUGGACCGGAGUCGACCCCUAGCUAUAUAUAUUGCGGAGACGGUUAAUUUUAGUCCAUUUGAUUGUUUUUUUCUCGAAAACAUAGUGAUGUUUCUUGGUUAACAAUCGGGUACAAUAAGUACGAAAAAUACAAAGAAUAACAAAAAGUCAAAGCUGGCUAUAUACAAAAGCAACAAAUGCUGAGCUUUCCGAUAAUUACAUAAAUCUUAUCAUAAUUUAUAAUGAACAACUUGUACAUUUUCUACCUGAGGUACAAACAUUCAAUUUUCUUAAAUGUCUCAUCUGUAAAGAUAAUAAUGUUAGGUACAUUCACUUAACGCCCUAUUCUUUUUUCUGCUUGCGGAUUAAUGGAUGAGCUUGUAUGCUUCCCGGGCUGUCUUACAAAUUGCCUACCGCUCUACCAACAUGCAUAUUGCAUGCAUACGUACCUCUUCCGUAUUUUAAUAGAUCAUUUUUUUUUCACAAGUUUGAUGAUUUGCCUUAUUUAAAAUUUUGUGCAAAUAUAUAAAAAAGUUAAGUUAAUGUAUUUGCUAAUAAAUCUAAUCACAACCAAAUAAGUUAGCAUAAGAUGAAUAGCCAAACGUAUACGAAAAAGUCAAUAAAAUCAUUUAUUAAAAUACAGAAAGAGUACGUAUCAAUGUACACCUAAAAUGGAGCGGUGGUGGUAAUGGAUGGUGUCUGCCACCCAACCCACCACCACUAACUCUCUUUAUUUUGUGAUAAGGGAAAAAAAAACUAUGACCCCAAUGUGCCACUAUGUCAGUAAAAAAAUAUAGAGUAAAGUACAUGGCCGGUCCUUAAACUUGUGGCGCGGUACUAAUUAGGUUCAUAAACUUUGAAAAUACACGUUUAGGUCCAUGAACUCAUUUUAACGUCUAAAAUCAUGGAUCUAGAUGGUACAUUAAAACGAGUUCAUGGACCUAGAUGGUACAUUAAAACAAGUUCAUGGACCUAAACAUGUAUUUUCUAAGUUUAUGGACUUAAGUGGUACCACGCCACAAGUUUAAACACAGACCAUGUACUUUACUCAAAAAUAUAUACAAUAAUUCAUUGAAAAAUUCUAUUGUGCCAUCGGCUUGAAGUGGGUGUACAAAGUCAAGCGCGAUGAGAAUGGCGGCAUCGUCAAGUACAAAGCGUGCCUCGUCGCCAAAGGGUACGUGCAGCGCCCCGGCGUCGACUUCGAAGAGGUGUAUGCUCCAGUUGCACGACUGGAGUCUGUGCGGCUGGUGCUCGCCAUUGCAGCUCACUACGGCUGGGGCGUCCACCACAUGGACGUCAAGUCGGCGUUCUUGAAUGGCGAGCUACAAGAGGAGGUAUACGUCCAGCAGCCUCCCGGCUUCGUCGACGGCAAGCACAAGCACAAGGUGCUGCGCCUCCACAAGGCGCUCUAUGGACUCCGCCAAGCACCACGAGCAUGGAACCACAAGCUGGACGCCGAGCUGCUGGCUCUCGGGUUCAAGCGCUGCGUCGACGAACACGGCAUGUACACGCGCGGGAGCGGAGCACAGCGCCUGAUCGUGGGCGUCUACGUGGACGACCUCAUCAUCACUGGUGGAGAUGACGACGCCGUGGCGAGGUUCAAAGGGCAGAUGCUGCGCACAUUCCGCAUGAGCGACCUCGGACUCCUCUCGUACUACUUGGGGCUCGAGGUCACUCAAGGCGCACACGGCAUCACGCUGCGUCAGAGCGCCUAUGCCAUCAAGAUACUUGAGAAGGCCGGGCUGGCUGGUUGCAAUGCUAGCACCACGCCCAUGGAGAUGAAGCUGAAGCUCCAGAAGGAGGGAACGACGCCGAGCGUCAAUGCCACGGAGUACCGCAGCCUCAUCGGGAGCCUGAGGUACCUGUGCAACUCUAGGCCCGAUUUGGCCUACUCCGUGGGAUACCUCAGCAGGUUCAUGGAGGCGCCUCGGCAAGAACACCUUGCUGCCGUGAAGCGUGUGCUUCGCUACGUGGCUGGCACGGUGCAUUGGGGCGUGCACUACCACCCGGCUGAGAGGAAGGGAGCGCCGCCCGUCUUGGUGGGGUACUCCGACAGUGAUCUCGCAGGCGACAUCAACGACCGCAAGAGCACAAGUGGGCUCAUCUUCUUCCUCGCCGGUGGACCGGUUGCCUGGCAAUCGGCAAAGCAGAAAGUGGUCGCCCUGUCGUCCUGCGAGGCCGAGUACAUCGCGGCCGCGGCAGCCGCGUGUGAAGCAGUCUGGUUGGCACGCUUGCUAGCUGAGCUCAUUGGAGGAACAGCACAAGCGCCUAGGUUGAAGGUGGACAACAAGUCCGCCAUUGCUUUGAUGAAGAACCCUGUGCAUCACGACCGGAGUAAACACAUCGACGUGAAGUUUCACUUCAUCCGGGAGUGCUGUGACAGGAAGCUGAUCAACGUCGAGUUCGUGGGCACCGAGCUGCAACUAGGUGAUCUACUCACAAAGGCACUUGGGCGCACCCGGUUUCAGGAGCUUCGCGGCUUGAUUGGUAUGAAAAAGCUACUCUAAUCGCUCGGACUUAGGAGGAGAAUGUUUGAAUAAGUCCUGAGCAGUUAAAUGUAGGAGGUAGCAGGCGAUUAGCGCCAUUAGAGGCAGGCCACGGAUUGCGGCAUGGCCCAGGUGGUUGGGAUGGCAACCAUUGAUCACGAGUAUGCCGGGAUUAGCUUGUCCAUUUGUUUCCUUGUAACCAUACAUGUAAUCCAUAUAUAGUGAAUACAAUCAAAAGGAAAAGCUGUCGCUUACAGCACCAAACUCAUCGUGUCCUCUGUGUUCUUCGUGUGUGUCGUCCUCCUCGCCGGAGUUCUAACAUACUAUUGGCC